GACGAACGCUGGCGGCGUGCUUAACACAUGCAAGUCGAGCGGAAAGGCCCUUCGGGGUACUCGAGCGGCGAACGGGUGAGUAACACGUGAGUAAUCUGCCCUUGGCUUUGGGAUAACUACCGGAAACGGUGGCUAAUACCGGAUACGACCGAUCCCUGCAUGGGGUGUUGGUGGAAAGUUUUUUCGGCCAGGGAUGUGCUCGCGGCCUAUCAGCUUGUUGGUGGGGUAAUGGCCUACCAAGGCUUCGACGGGUAGCCGGCCUGAGAGGGUGACCGGCCACACUGGGACUGAGACACGGCCCAGACUCCUACGGGAGGCAGCAGUGGGGAAUAUUGGACAAUGGGCGGAAGCCUGAUCCAGCAACGCCGCGUGAGGGAUGACGGCCUUCGGGUUGUAAACCUCUUUCGACAUUGACGAAGCCCUUUUAGGGUGACGGUAGGUGUAGAAGAAGGACCGGCCAACUACGUGCCAGCCGCCGCCGUAAAAC
rnacentral:rRNA from 1 species